rnacentral:rRNA from 1 species
GAUGAACGCUGGCGGCGUGCCUAAUACAUGCAAGUCGAGCGAACAGACGAGGCGCUUGCUCCUCUGACGUUAGCGGCGGACGUGUGAGUAACACGUGUAUAACCUACCUAUAAGACUGGGAUAACUUCGGGAAACCGGAGCUAAUACCGGAUAAUAUAUUGAACCGCAUGGUUCAAUAGUGAAUGACGGUUUUGCUGUCACUUAUAGACGGAUCCGCGCCGCAUUAGAUAGUUGGUACGGUAACGGCUUACCACGGCAACGAUGCGUAGCCGACCUGAGAGGGUGAUCGGCCACACGGGAACUGGGACACGGUCAAGACGACUACGGGAGGCAGCAGUAGGGAAUCGUAGGCAAUGGGCGAAAACUUGACGGAACAAGGCGGAGUGAGUGAUGAAGGUCUUCGGAGCGUAAAAAUCUGUUAUUAGGGAAAAACAAAUGUGUAAGGAACUAAGCACGUAGUGACGGUAACUGAUCAGAAAGCCACGGUUAACUACGUG